UUUUACCCUAAAAUGAAAUAUCAUAAUUAGUAACAAGAAUGUUUCAUCUUUAAGGUUAUUUGAACCAGAUUCAGACAAGUUUACGUCUCUAAGCGAAUUUCAGAAGUGCGAAUUCACGCUUGUCGAAGCAUUACGCCGAGUUACGCAAAGAAAGAGAAUCCUCCUCAGCAAAGUGGAGCAGCAUUCAAGUUAUCAGGACACUAUACAGCAAAUAAAUACAGUUGUCCAGUAUAUAACUGAAGCACAAGCACAAGGAGCAGAAACUUUACUCGAGAACGACGAUGAUCAUGGAAUCGAGUUAAGCAACGUGGAUAAUAUGAAUUUUGGCUCUGAUGAAUGCUCUGGUACUCUAAGGUAAAUGUUAAUACAUAGUUUAUUGCAUUUAGUGCCCCUGUAUAAU